AGGUUAUUAGUUACAACUAUUAUUAUUUUGAUGUCUUUUUUUAACCGAGGCCAACCACUUUAUACUGUCAUCCAUGGAAGGGCUCUUAUUAACCGCCUCAGACGUUUGGGACCGAUGAUUCUUUGGCAGGAUACUUCGGAAAGUUCUUAAGUGGGGAUGGAACUAUCUUGAUUUGAUUUAAGUUGUGGAAAAAGAAGACAGAUUUGUGUUUUUCAUGCUGACAAAAAAUAGCUGCUAUGACUUUUCCGGCAACGUGGACAGGGGCCAAGUGAAGCUGAACUGGUCAUGGUCUGUCGUCCAGUGUUCCUUUGUCGUCGGCGAUUUUGCCCCCGGCCCUUCUUGGUGGGCUUGGUGGUGGCAAUCUGUCUCUUCUACCAGACCCUGACAUUCCGGGGGGCAAGGAAGCUCACAGCUGCUGUCCCUGAGGCUGCCCCAAACACACCCACCGAAACCCAGGCAAGCAGAUGCAAGGAAGGAUUCUCCCUGGACAAGCAGUGCUUACUUCUCUCCGAUAAGGCACAGGAAGUCAGAAAGAUCGAAGAGUCAAUUGAGAUCCACUUCGGCAGCCAUGGCAGAAAGGCUGUUCUCUACAGGCCUCCAUCCUCCAGCAAAAGGGAGCUUCAGCUCCACCAGCGCGUUCUCACUCAACAUCACUAUGCGGUUGUCGUCACUGAAGAAAGGCUCGGUGCCGAACCUGGGCUGGGGCUACUAGAAAAAGGUGAUUUGGGCUCUUGGGAUCUGCUCGUUUGCCUGUCUUCUGGGAAAGCUAGUGGAAAACCUUGCAUAUCCAAGGAAGACAUGUGCCAGUUAGGUUUACAUCAAAAGGUAAACAUAUUACCAGAAAUACAACAUCAACUUUGCAGAAAGGAAGGAUUAUGUCAACUAAUUAGAAGAUUUCCAGAAUUGCAACUUCCGGUGAGCCCCUCAGUGUGUCUGGAUCAGAGCAUACAAUUAAAGCUGAGUACUUCAAGUCACCUUUUAAAAACAGUGAAGUCAUAUAUGUGGAAACCAGGGGACUGGAGACAUGAACAGCUGAAUCAAACCACAGUCCUAGCUCCACAAGAAACACUCAUGAGAGCCAAAGAUUUAUCUGUAAUUCUUAAAGCGUAUGUGCUGGUGACAUCCUUAACUCCUCUGCGUGCAUUCAUUCAUUCGACUGGCACGGUUUGGAAUCCACCAAAGAAAAAACGCUUCACUGUCAAGCUGCAAACAUUUUUUGAGACGUUCCUGAGAACAAGUUCACCUCUUCAGGCUUUUGAUAACAUGAAGGAAGCAAUUAGCAAACUCCUGCUAGCAGCUGAAGUAUUCAGUGAAACAUCUACUCUGGGACCAAAGGUCUUCCAUAGAUGCAGAUUAUGUUUUCAACUUUUAACUUUUGAUAUUGGUUAUGGCAGUGUCAGGUCCCCUGUAGUGCUCCAGGUGCAUGAGCAUUUAAAUUUUCAAGAUGAUGAUAAUAUGGAUUUUGAGGACCAAAACACAGAAGAAUUCCUUUUAAAAGACACUUUCAAUUUUCUCCUGUCUAAUGAAUCUUCACUUUCCAUAUUUUCUGAGAUAUUUCAGAGACUUUAUAGAUCAGGUAUAUUUAAGGGUGAAAACUAUCAAAAAGAACUAAAUCAAUGCCUAUCUUUAGAGGAGAUUAACUCAGUUAUGACUUUCAUAAAGGAACUCAGGAGUUUGGGACAAUUCCAACUGCUCUUCCCAUCUACUACUCCUGGGUUUCAAUCUUUGAUGCGUGAAUUUUAUGAUAUGGCAAAUCCUGUGGGGAAACCUGGUUCCAUCCUGACCCAAUACUGGUCUCUUUUAAAUGUAUUUGAACAAUUUCAGCUCCUGCAUAAAAAGGCACAGCCACACCCGCUGGAAUGGAAUUCUUUCGCAGAGGAUGAGAACAUGAAAAAACCACAAGUACCAUUUAAUGCAAUUGAAAAUAAAAAAGCUGCAGUUCCACAAAUUAUUAAUGAAACCAAAGAAAUACAUUGCAUUAAUGAUAAAGAUGCACAAUGUCAUAUCAAGCAGAUCUUCACACAUCCGCAUUUGGAACUAAAUCCUGAAUUUAACUCAAAGAUCAAAGAUUAUUACUCUGAAGUCCCAUUUGAUGUGGUAACGCUGACAAUUGGAGCAGAGACUUCUAAGUGUCAGUGCAAGGUGUACCUGCAGGAACGGGCAGGACCAAGCUUUGCCAACUACCCUCUGGGCUUAGGGAUGAACAAAAUCUCGAUGCUUGUGGUGGAUGAAUCUCCAAUCCAAGGUGAGAUCCUGAUCACAUACAAACUCACCAUCUAUAGAGAAGACCGUCCAAGUCUGCCUUUGUUUGAGGACUUCACAGCAUGUGGUUUUGUGCAGGAUUGUGGUUUGCUGAUUCAACCAGAGGAAACCUGCGGGUUACAGCCUAUUUCUUCUGACUACAUUGAAGCCAUAUCACAGCCAGGACUAAAGACCUGUCCAUCUGGGGACACAAAAGGCCAGUGGAUCGUGCCUUGCCUUAGCUGUUCAGACAACAGGACCUGUGACUGGAGAGAAAUCACUUGGCAGCCUCACAACUGUCACUAUGGUGUCCUAGCUAAGCCUCAACUCCAGCAGUGCCUGGGAGGAAGGAAGAAAUAAAGGCUGAGAAGUCCAAGAUCAGGGUGCCAGCACAGUUGGGUUCUGGUGAGAGGCCGCUUCCUGGCUUCUGUUGGCUGCCUUUUUUGCUGUGUCCUCAUAAGUGAUGAAUGGAAGGCUAUACUUGGAAAUGGAGGCCCACCGGUGGGGAAGAAACAAAACACAGAUCAGUUGGGAUUUAAAAAGGCAUUCAAUUUUCCUGUAACUUUGACCAGGAAUGUCACUGCACUCAAUGGUGUGUAAGCAGGACCGAACUUUUUAUACCUCAGUCACUUGCCUUUACUUCAGUGAACAGGAGGCUGAUCUCUGCAGAAAGAUGGCACAGGGUUUCUCCUCAGAGCAUUUGUAUCACUUUCCAUGGCAUACUUGUUCGUGUCUGGAGGGCAGGUAAAUACGAGACCCCUUUUACUCUAAAUCUAUCCAAAUAUGAGUUAUUUCAUUUGUAAGCUGUUGUAGAUAUGUAUAGGUUUUGUGAUGUGCCAUCGUGUUGAAUCAAAGCAAAAUUCUUUGAAAAAGAACAAACUAUGUGUUCAGUUAUACUCUUGACAAAUGUCUCUAAAUAGAUACACACCUCUUACUUAAUAAACUUUGGUUGGAACAUUUAGAAAAAUUUAUCAGAGCAUAACUUUGUAAUCACAGUGCAAAAUACAUAGGAAAUAGUUUAGAAGUAGGGUAAUGAAAUUUACAACUGAAAGAACUUAGGAGGCUGACCAAAACUGAAUGAAACGAGCUUUUAUUUUGUUUGUCAGAAACAUAGUUCAACUGACAAACUCAGUAUUUUAUUACUCAGUAAUAAAAUAUCUGAGAGAAGAGUGCAAUUACGAAAGGAAAAUAUAAAAAGGCAAUAUUUACUGAAAGUAUUUAAACUCAGCUGUUAAAACAGGAAAUUAACUUGCAUUUUUACGCUGCUUGCAAGUUAAGUACUGUCUUGGACUUAAAGGUGUUUACAUAUUUGAAGUAUGCCCAAUUUAUAAUAAUAUGUUCUGACUAAUAUGUGAAUUCCAUUAUGGUUACACAAUUCAUUGUUGCUUGUCAGUUUCAAUAAAAAAGGGUAAACAGAAGAAAAGGAGUGUACCUGACUCUCACCAGGAAAGGAUGGCUUACACAUAAUGCCCACAAUCCAGAGAGAAGGGCAAAAUAGAUACAUACUUUUGUUGCAAGCAGUUAGAAGAUCUAUGUCUAGGCGAUAUUGUUCAGUUGUUUGUUUUUCUUUUCUGCCAAAUUUCAUGUGUUUUAGAGUGACUUGCCUACAUGUCAGUUUUCAUCUGUUCUUGACUCCAAAGGGCAAUUUGUUUGGUCCUCUAUAGCCAGUUUAAUCAAAUGCAUCAUUGAAAAAACAUUCGUUGCAAUCGUAUUACAUUUCACAGAGAGACGCUUUGAUGAGCUAGAUUUUCAUCAUGCCCUAAAUAUCAUUAGCCAUCUGAUCAGUCUCAGCUUCAUAUUAGAGCUGAAUCACCCUAUACCUCACUUAGAAUGGGAAGUUAUUUUAUGAGAGCAGUGGUGCUCAAUCAUGGGGCUCAUUGGAAUCACUGUGGAGCUUUCUAAAUGUAUGGACUAUGCUUGGCCCUGGACUAGAUGUAAUGAAUAGGACUCCUCCUCACCUCACUUUCAUUUCCUUUAUUUACCAAGAUGAGAGCUCUCCAGUAAGCAGGCAUUGUCUAGAUUAAUGGACAAGAAGCUACUGUGUAACUUCCCCUCUUGGAAGCUUCCAGUGGGUUCCUAUUAGCUGGCUGAGACCUGUGUUGGCAUCUCCAUGCACUUUGUUGUUCUGAAGAAAUAUCCCCAUCUCUGUGAAUAUUGAAGAUAGAACCUAUGCAAAGGGAAAGAAAGGAAGAUAGAAAAUUAUUUUAAAUCAAGGGGUUUUUUUUCCCGUGUCUAUUGAUUCUACAUAUACCCAGUUCUUUCCUAGCUUCAACAGAUCAGAAGAAUCUGAGAAGCUAACAAACUACCUUCAUAUUGACUCAACACAGAUAGCCCCCAUUGAUUCUCUUCAUUUCUUUAUAACUUGCUUUGCUAACUAUGUCCUUGUUACUUUGGGUGACUUUGGAGACAGGAGGUAAUGGAGUAAAAUAUUUACAUGUUAAGUAUCGUCAUCAUUAGUUCCCUUUAUUCAUGAUGAAAUAAAGUGGGAUGAAAAUUGUUUUAUCGUAUAUUUCAAUCAAAAGUUCCCAAAGUU